rnacentral:rRNA from 1 species
GAUGAACGCUAGCUACAGGCUUAACACAUGCAAGUCGAGGGGCAGCGCAGUGUAGCAAUACAUGGGCGGCGACCGGCGCACGGGUGCGUAACGCGUAUCCAACCUUCCCGUUACUCAGGGAUAGCCUUCCGAAAGGGAGAUUAAUACCUGAUGGUGUUCAAAUUCCGCAUGUUAUUUGAACUAAAGAUUUAUCGGUAACGGAUGGGGAUGCGUGACAUUAGGUAGAUGGCGGGGUAACGGCCCACCAUGCCUACGAUGUCUAGGGGUUCUGAGAGGAAGGUCCCCCCACAUUGGAACUGAGACACGGUCCAAACUCCUACGGGAGGCAGCAGUGAGGAAUAUUGGUCAAUGGGCGAAAGCCUGAUGCAGCGACGCCGCGUGAGCGAAGAAGUAUUUCGGUAUGUAAAGCUCUAUCAGCAGGGAAGAAAAUGACGGUACCUGACUAAGAAGCACCGGCUAAAAUACGUG